UACUGUGAGUCCAUCCUAUUGUGAGCCAAUUCUACUUUGAGCCCAUCCUACUGUGAGCUCAUCAUGCUAUGAGCCCAAGCUACUGUGAGUCCAUCUUACUGUGAGGCGAUCCUGCUGUGAGCCCAUCCUACUGCCUGCCAUCCUACUCUGAGCCCAUCCUACUGUCAGCCCAUUCUACUCUGAGCACAUCCUACUAUCAGCCCAUUCUACUCUGAGAUCAUCCUACUGUCAGCCCAUCCUGCUCUGAGCCCAUCCUACUCUAAGUCUAUCCUGCUGUGAGCCCAUCCUACCAUGAGCCCAUCCUGCUAUAAUCCCAUCCUACUGUGAGCCCAUCUUACUGUGAGCCCAUUCCGCCAUAAGUCCAUCCUCCUGUGAGCCCAUCCUCCUAUAGCACAUCCUACUGCGAGGCAUGCUACUUUUAGCCCAUCAUAAUGUGAGCCCAUCCUACUGUUAGCCCAUCCUGCUGUGAGUCCAUCCUACUGUGAGCCCAUCCUGCUGUGACACCAUCCUACUGUGACACCAUCCUACUGUGAGUCAACCCUAAUGUGAGCCCAUUCUGCUCUGAGCCCAUCCUACUCUGAGCCCAUCCUAUUGUAAGACUAUCCUGCUGUGAGCCCAUCCUACCAGGAGCCCAUCCUACUGUGAGCCCAUCCUACUGUGAGCCCAUCCUACUGUGAGCCCAUCCUACUGUGAGCCCAUCUUGCUGUGAGCCCAUCCUACUGUGAGCCCAUCCUACUGUGAGCCCAUCCUACUGUGAGCCCAUCCUACUGUGAGCCCAUCUUGCUGUGAGCCCAUCCUACUGUGAGCCCUCCUAUUCUGAGCCCAGCCUAAUGUGAUCUCAUCCUGCUGUGGGCCCAUCCUACUGUGGCACUCAUCCCAAAGGGAUUUUUCUCUGGCACCUAUAAAGCCCACCCUGCGUGUCCAAGAAGAGGGGAUUUCAUUAAUGAGUUACAGGUUCUGCCCUCAAGAGAAACUGAGCGGCCCAUCUGAAGUGGAUUCGUGGGACGUCGAUGGACAGAUGGACAGACAAAGGCCACCUAGCGGGAUUUUUCAUAAGCAAGUUUCCACAGCAAGCCAGGAGCUGUCUUAGUUAGGAUUUUACUGCUGUGAACAGACACCAUGAUCAAGGCAAGUCUUAUAAAAAACAACAUUUAAUUGGGGCUGGCUUACAGGUUCAGAGGUUCAGUCUGUUAUCAUCAAGGCAGGAGCAUGGAAGCAUCCAGGCAGGCAUGGCACAGGCAGAGCUGAGAGUUCUAUGUCUUCAUCGAAAGGCUACUAGUGGAAGACUGACUUCCAGGCACCUAGGGCUUAAGCUGAGACAGCAACAUUCAAAAUCUCAGCAUAUCUUGCAGAGCUAAGGUGCCAGGCAUGGUGAUACACACCUGUGUCCCACCCUUUGGAACAGCUGAAACCUGCUAGCUCAGGGGUGGAGCUUCCUGCUCAUUCGUUCUGCCACGCCCACUGCUGGAACCUGCCGCUUUGCUGUUCGGAGACACACACGUGCUCACCUUUCUACUGGAUCCGAGAUUAUUCGGCGGGAAUCGGGUCCCCUCCCCCUUCCUUCAUAACUAGUGUCGCAACAAUAA
rnacentral:lncRNA from 1 species